UUUUUGGGUUUUCUCACAAAGUUUAUAGUUUUAGACUGCAGUUGCAAUUUGUUGUUUUCACAAAAAUGAUAUCUAACCAUACAAUGAAUAAUUUUGUAAUUAUUCAAACCAUUGACAUAUUUUUGACGAUUUCCAACGAACAAGCUAGCUAUCGAAACGUUUCAGCGUGUGUAGUUAAGUUAGCCUGCUAACGUCUUCAUAGCUAGUAGCAUGUAAUCAGGACAUGACCAAACUGUUGCUGAGAUAAUGGAUGUUGAAACUUCCAAGGAGAAAAGAGGCAUUGUUGAAACUUACUCAUAUGCUUGCAGUGUAAAAAAGGGGGGUGAAUGCGAUUCAUACCCGAAUACCCCAACCAAGGAGCAACUUCCAAAGAAGCUGAGAAGUGAACCAUCAAUGAGCCAGCUACAGGACAACAUCGUCCGCAUCCUCACGGCUAAAAUCAAAGAGAGUACAGAUAACAUCAUGAAUUUGGUGUAAAAGAACACUGUCAGUAUCGUUAACCUGAAGAAAUCGAUUGAUUUCAGUGCUGAGGAAGUAAAAACUCUGAAGCAGCAGAACGCAACAUUGAACAUUCAGGUUGAAAAGCAGGAGAAGAAACUCACUGAAAUGGAGUCAAAAGGUAAACGAGAAUGACCGGUAUAGUCGGAGAUGGAAUCUUCGAAUUUAUGGAAUAGCAGAAAAAUCUGACGAGAACAUCAAAGCAAGACAUUUGCAGGGCAAUAGGAGGAGCGAAAUGUUGUUGCAGGUUCUCUGGAUGUAGUGCACCGCCUGGGUAGGCUGAGAGAUGGGGAAAACAACCAGCCACCACGACCAGUGAUCAUGAGAUUCAUCUCCAGUGAGGGACAUGACAUGGAAAAGUGCAAAGAAAAAUGACUAUUUAAAGAAGAACAACCUGAGGUUCAAGGAGGAUCUGACAGCAUUUGACAAAGAAGCUCAGAAUCGUCUGUGGCUGGAUUUAUCAAGUGAGUUGUGCAGGACUGAGUUUUAUUUGCAUCUGAUAAAACUUUAUAUUUCUUGAGGAAAGAGCAUUGUUUGUGUGAGCCAAACUUUUUGUUAUAUAUAUAUUUUAUUUUAUGGCAGGGAAAUUCGCACUGACACUUAAUGUUAGCUUGAUGGCUAUUACUUUUUACCAAUUUAUGGUACAAUGUUAUUUGCAAUUGUAUAAAUAUAUAUAUAUAGAAUUUAGGUCACCCACUUGCGUGGUGCAAAGGACUGUUUUUAUUUGCAACUAGUAAGAACUUUUAUUUUUGUGAGACCCUGGUUCAUGUGAACGUAUACAAGUUUAAUAUUCUUCAUCUAGUCACUGUGAUAGUAAAUGUCCAUUUCUGUUUUUCUAUUAAUGCUAGGCGAAUCGUAAUAUUUUUAAGAGACAGGAAUGAGGUUUCUAAAGCAGUUUCCUGUAUUGAAGACUUUUCCUUAGUUUCGGGUUUGAAAAUGAAUAUCAGUAAGUCAGUCUUAUUUCCAUUCAAGGAUUGUGUUUUACAGGAAGUAUUUGGUAUCCCAAUUAAAGAUAAGGUUACUUAUAUUGAAAUUGUUAUAUGCAAGGAUGAAAAACAAAGGACUGAAUUGAACUUUAACUAAUUGAACCUCUGGUUGAUGAGAGAUAUUUCGUUAUACGGUCGAGUAUUAUUAUCCAAAGCUGAAGGGUUAUCCAGAUUGGUUUAUGUCUCGUUGUCACUUGACUUACCCCCUAAAAUUGUAAAGGACUUAGAUAAGAUUAUUUAUAGUUUUAUUUGAUGUGAUAUCCACAAAAAUGAUGUGGAUAUAUUGAAGCAACAUCUCAAGACAUCAGUCAGGAAGUUAAGGCUUGGUCGCAAGUGGGUAUUCCAAAUGGACAAUAACCCCAAGUAUACUUCCAAAGUUGUGGCAAAAAUGACUUAAGGACAACAAAGUCAAGGUAUUGGAGUGGCCAUCACAAAGCCCUGACUUCAAUCCUAUAGAAAAUGUGUGGGCAGAACUGAAAAAGCGUGUGCGAGCAAGGAGGCCUACAAACCUGACUCAGUUACACCAGCUCUGUCAGGAGGAAUGGGCCAAAAUUCAGUAAACUUAUUGUGGGAAGCUUGUGGAAGACCAACCGAAACGUUUGACCCAAGUUAAACAAUUUAAAGGCAAUGCUACCAAAUACUAAUUGAGUGUAUGUAAACUUCUGACCCACUGGGAACGUGAUGAAAGAAAUAAAAGCUGAAAUAAAUAAUUAUCUCUAGUAUUAUUCUGACAUUUCACAUUCUUAAAAUAAAGUGAUGAUUCUAACUGACCUAAGACAGGGAUUUUUUACUAGGAUUAAAUAUCAGGAAUUGUGAAAAACUGAGUUUAAAUGUAUUUGGCUAAGGUGUAUGUAAACAUCAGACUUUAACUGUACCUAGAAGUGCACACUAUUCUUAUUAUUUUUUAAUGUAUGUAUAUAGUCAACUAUAGUCAACUAUACAACUUCUACUACUACUACACUUUAUAUCAUCCAAUAAUAUAUAAUGAAAAACACUCAACAUGAAGAAUUAAUGCAAUUAUGUUAAUUUCAAAUAUUUAUUUUGAAAUAUAGAUUAGGUGCUCUUCUUUUUAUAGCAGGAAGUAAAGGGACUGGACAAGGCUUUGCCUAUAGCUGAAAACAUCCUGGAAAUGAGCGAACGCUUCCUUGGUUUCUUCUUGGUGGAGCAUACACUCUCUGUUCGGCAGGAUUGUUGAUCAUUGACAAUUGCUGGGGGAAAAAAUGUAAACAUAACAUUUUCUUUAACUGACCCUAGUUAGUGUGAAGAAUUAGUAUUGCAUUAUUAUUAUUUAAAUUGUAAUAUUCUACAUAAUUUACAAAUGUCGGGCGGCAGGUAGCCUAGCAGUCUCAAUCCGCCUAUUUAACGCAGAAGUGUUACAUAGGCCCCCCCAGGGCUUAGACUGUUUAGUGCCAAAAAGAAGGGGAUAAAAACAUGCAAAAAAUAUAUAUACAUAUAAAUAAAUAUAUAUAUAUAUAUUUCGUCAACUUUCUUAUAUCUCUCAGAUUUAGGACAGACACUUCAGUUCCAUGUAGUGAAUCUGUUAUUCAAUGCGUUUGUAUGGGCAAAUAGCAGUAAGGCCGAUACAAACCCCUCGGCCCAGACAGGGCGUAGACUCUUGUGGGUUAAAAAGCAUGAUCAUUACAAAGGUGCAACUCGUGCUGGAGGCAAUAAAAGGCCACGCUAAAAUGUGCAGUUUUGUCACACCACACAACGCCACAGAUGUCUCAGAGACAGAGACUGAGAAAAAUAGGAGCAAGGAAAAACGCUGGUUGACUUGUUUUGAGGGAGCGUGCAAUUGGCAUGCUGACUGCAGGAAUGUCCACCAGAGCUGUGGCCAGAGAAUUGGAUGUUUAUUUCUUUACCAUAAGCCGCCUUCAAUGUCGUUUUAGAGAAUUUGGCAGUAUGUCCAACAGGCCUCACAACCACAGACCACGUAUAUGGCGUCGUGUUGGCUGUAGGGUUAUGGUGUGGGCAGGCAUAAUCUACGGACAACGAAUACAAUUGCAUUUUAUCAAUGGCAAUUUGAAUGCACAGAGAUACCGUCACGAGAUCCUUAGGCCCAUUGUCGUGCCAUUCAUCCGCCGCCAUCACCUCAUGUUUCAGCAUGGUAAUGCAUGGCCCCAUGUCGAAAGGCCUGCAUACUCACCAGACAUGUCACCCAUUUAGCAUGUUUGUGAUGCUCUGGAUUGACGUGUACAACAGCGUGUUCCAGUUCCCACCAAUAUUCAACAACUUCGCACAGCUAUUGAAGAGGAGUGGGACAACAUUCCAUAGGCCACAAUCAACAGCCUGAUCAACUCUAUGCGAAGGAGAAGUGUCACGCUGCAUGAGGAAAAUGGUGGUCACACCAGAUACUGACUGGUUUUCUGAUCCACGCCCCUACCUUUUUUUAAGGUAUCUGUGACGAACAGAUGCAUAUCUGUAUUCCCAGUCAUGUGAAAUCCAUAGAUAAGGGCCUAAUGAACGUAUUUCAAUUGACUGAUUUCCAUAUAUGAACUGUAACUCAAUAAAAUCUUUGAAAUUGUUGCAUGUUGCAUAUUUUUGUUCAGUACACAUUUGAGUGUAUUGACUUACCUGUUUCACUGACGGCAGGGGUCUGGUUCUGGGAAGGUGUUGGAGUGCAGUGGUUCUUCUUGUUGACCUUCUUUGUACACUGGGUAACAAACAGUCAUUUAUACAGUAGGAGAAAUUGCACACAAAGGGUAUCAGUGUUUACCAUCAUACUGUACGUAAUGAAUAAAAAUAAUCUUAAAAAUGUGUAUUUUGAUGACAUAUGUACCUUUUGGUUGAGUCCACAGAGAGCGCUGAAUCUUCCUCUCUUCUUUUCCUUUCUACAAGUAAGCCCAGAAUUACCUACCUCGUCACUGCCAAGUACCUUGUGUGAUGACAACUGUGUCAUGGAGGGAGGUGAAGAGCUAGCCUCAUUGCAUUUAGCUAGUAGUUCCCUAGUUAAUGAUUUGACCAGGGCAUCGUCAAAUGCAUAAUCCGUUGACUUCAUUGCAACCUGGAGCAUCUUCUCUGACCCAAAUUCUUGAAGAAGCCCCUUGUAAACAGCCUUGAAAAUCUUUUUGAUUUUCAGAUUCUGGGGGUAGGCUUGAGUUGGUUCAAGGCCUGAGGUGCCACAGAACUCAGACAGAAUCCUCUUUGUGAGAACUCUUGAUGUUUCACCAAUGUCAGAGGAUUCCAGUAAUGUGAAAGGGGUGAUCAUUGACAGCAAUCUAACAAUCAGUAAAAGUACCAAAGAGGUGUAGUCAUUGCUAGUGGAGUCAAAUGAUGCAUGUGUAUCAGAGUCCAUGGCUGAUGGAGUUGAUGGAUGCACAGAGACACUAGACAUCUCCAGAUCUUUGUUGUCCAUCUUAGAUUCCACCUCUCCUAAAACUUGAAUAUCCACAGUUCCACCGUUGUGUGUGCUGCUGCCAGACAGAGAGGGUCUAGCCAAUGAUUUGGAACUAGACUGACGGCUAGUGGUCAUGAGAGCCGGUCUGUCAGAGUCAAGUGUUCCAGCAUCAGUUGGGGACAACCCAUUGAUUAUGUUCAUCAACUCUGAUAAUUCUUCUGAUGAAUUGGAGGCCACAGAACAGGUAUCCAUGACCUGAUUGACCAUUAUAUUGGUGAAAAGGUUCUUUGUGUCAAAGUAAACCUGUGAGGAACUAACGGAGAUGGCAGAAGAGCUCGGCAUAAGCCAACUUGUUUCCUGCAGAGAAUCAUCAGAGAUGAUAGUUUGGCAGAAAUCGGAUCCUUGUGAUGGUGGAGGAAGCCAGAAGACAAUCUGCUGUAGCAGACGUUUUAUUGACUCCGUAGCAAAGGAGUAUACAAGGUCAGAUGGAAACUCCCUGGAUUCUUCAGAAGCAUUCAAUCCUGUCUUCAGCUUCAAAAGAAUAGAGUCAGACACGCUCUUGCCAGCUGGCACAAAAAGAGCCUGGGGGGUGUUGUGACUUUUUAUGAGCUCAUAAACUUUGUCAGUGAGCUCAUGUGAGAAGUUCUGAAGACCGUCCCUGGGGCUGAGUCUCGCAAGUCUUCUUGUAAAAGAAGUGACAUCAUCUGCAGUGGCUAUGUGUUCCGUAUCUUCUCUUGGAAUGACC
ensembl:lncRNA